UUAAUUGAAACCAAAAUAGAGGUUUAUCACUGUUAAUGAUAUUAAUGAGUAAAAACUCCAAUUAAA
rnacentral:tRNA from 1 species